rnacentral:rRNA from 1 species
AUGCCCCACGCCGUCCCGGCUCUAUCCACAGGAACCAGCUAUUCCCGCUGCAGUCGUGAGAUUCAAUUCGCGGUUGCCUCGUCCGAUCCAGCGGCUGCGCCAGCCACUAUCCACGAAGGCGCAAGAGGUCGCUCACCCCCUCCGUACUCGUCCCGGUCCUCUCCACCAGCUCCCAGGCCCGCGGCCCCCGCUCCAUCGCACUGCAGCGGCGUCUCGGUUGGUCAAGGAUCCCCCCUCCAGUCCCCCAACCACCACCCCGGCGCCCCUAGGCAGCAUCAGCAACAUUAUCACUUUAUUUUCGUUUUCACAUAUGAGUUUUGUGUUGAGAUAGUAUGGUAUUCAUGCUUCUCACCGAUGGAGCUUCCAAAUUGUAGUAGUAAUCUUCCAGUUAUGAUGAUGUGUUGA